AUUCUUCCCCAGCCAGGUAGCAGGCACAGGCUGUAAGUCCAGCAAGUAGACACAGAAGCAAGUGGACUAUUACAAGCCAAAGAUUUUAUAAAUAAGAAACUCCUAACAGAAACAGGUCCCACGGAGUCAGAUGAAAUGUUGCUCCUGCCCUCUGCUUCGGGACUUGCUUCACACAACAACCAAGAGCAAACACGAGUUCUGCUGGCUGUGCAACAUCUUGCCUUGAGAUAAACACCAAGAUGCAUAUGCAUGCAUAAUGCACUCCAAGGGGAUAUUAUCCAAGAGGAUAAUACACAUGAUGCAGAAAACUAGCCAUAUGCAAUAUAACAACGAAAGCCAAACUGACCACAAAUGCUUCUCCAGAGCUGAUUUCCAAAACUGUCCAAGCAGAGGCAAGGAAUGGAAGAAAUCUCUCACUCCUGACUCAUGCUGUUGGCCUGAACACAGGGUGGUUCGUUACUCAGAAAUGGCAUUUGGACGCUCCCCCCUGCCAGGAGGGGAGUGCUGCAGAGGGAGGAGGAAGCAUCCACAGGUCCAGAUUUGUGGAAGAGAAGAGAUUGCACAAAACUUGAGGAAUUUGGGAUACAUUUCAAGCCACAAGAGCAACAAAAGGAAAUUUUAAGCAGCAUAAUUUUUUUUUAUUAUUUUUUAAUUAUCUAGAGAGAACUGUAUCUCUACAGCAUAAUAUAUUUUGCCUAUUGUCCACAUCCCACAAAGUUUAAGUCAGCUGUGUUGCUCUCU